AUUGAACGCUGGCGGCAGGCCUAACACAUGCAAGUCGAGCGGAGCGGCGGACGGGUGAGUAAUGCCUAGGAAUCUGCCUGGUCGUGGGGGAUAACGUCCGGAAACGGGCGCUAAUACCGCAUACUAUCAGAUGAGCCUAGGUCGGAUUAGCUAGUUGGUGGGGUAAAGGCUUACCACGUGGACGAUCCGUAACUGGUCUGAGCGGAUGAUCAGUCACACUGGAACUGAGAUGCGGACCAGACUCCUACGGUAGGCAGCAGUGGGGAAUAGUGGGCAAUGGGCGAAAGCCUGGUCCAGCCAUGCCGCGUGUGUUAAAAAGGUCUUCGGAUUGUAAUGCACUUUAAGUUGGGAGGCGUUACCAACAGAAUAAGCACCGGCUAACUUCGUGCCAGCAGCCGCGGUAAUAC
rnacentral:rRNA from 1 species